rnacentral:rRNA from 1 species
GGGGGGGGGGGGGGGGGGGGGGGGGGGGGGGGGGGGGGGGGGGGGGGCGCUGCGUUGGUGGGGGGCGCGGGUGGGGAACGGGUGCGUGACACGUGGGUGACCUGCCCGUGACUUGGGGAUCACUUCGGGAAACGGGGGCUGAUACCGGCUAGGAGCUCCUUCUGCAUGGUGGGGGUUGGCAAGGUUCGGCGGUUGGGGAUGGACUCGCGGCUUAUCAGCUUGUUGGUGGGGUAGUGGCUUACCAAGGCUUUGACGGGUAGCCGGCCUGAGAGGGUGACCGGCCACAUUGGGACUGAGAUACGGCCCAGACUCCUACGGGAGGCAGCAGUGGGGAAUAUUGCACAAUGGGCGGAAGCCUGAUGCAGCAACGCCGCGUGCGGGAUGACGGCCUUCGGGUUGUAAACCGCUUUCGCCUGUGACGAAGCGUGAGUGACGGUAAUGGGUAAAGAAGCACCGGCUAACUACGUG